UGGCCUCCAUGAUGUAGCGGUCAAUGCGUCACACCACUACUGCGCCCCCCCCCCCCCCACUUAUCCACUGGUUUGAUGGUGAGGUUAGGGUUGGAUCGGAGGGCUGCGCAUUCCUUGGGGGAGAGGUUGGAGUGAGUGAGAGAGUUUGAGGCGAUCGAUGUCGCGACGGCAGUUGGAAAUGAAGAGACCGAGGGAGGGUGGGAGGUCGUGGGGUGGUGUCCAGGAGGAUGGGGUUUGUUGCAGGUGGGAGAAGGGGUUGGCAGAGGGUGGGUUAGACUCUCGGUCAAAGAAAUAGGCGCGGAGGUGGAGGCGCCAGAAGAAGAGUUCAACAUCCAGACAUGAAUGGAGUUAAUUUAUGUGUGGGCACAGGGGAAUGAAGAUGUUUGGAACAAUUGAUUGCUUGCUCAUCCAUUUCUAAGGCAGUCAAGAGUCAACUACAAUGCCUGUGGGGUCUGGAGUCAACAAAGACCAGACCAGUUAAGGAUUUCCUUCCCUGAAUGUUUUUAAUUAAUCAGCAAUGGCAGACUGGCAUCUUAUAAGGCUAUGGUUUGUACCAUGCUGGUCAACUCAACCUGUGACAACCAUUCAGCUGUAUCUGGAAGAGUACUGCUCAUAUACUUGCAUCUGAAGCAUCAGCUACUGUUGGAAAUGAAGGUCCGCAAUGAGCUAAGACGGCUGUAGGUGUCAACAUUUCCUUAAUCUUCAAAAAAGUGUUGUCUUGAUGAAGAUUGUAACACCAUACUUGUAUCUUCUUGAGCAGUUACCCCAAGCGUUUUGUAAUUGUUGCUAGGUUAGGCAAAUAUUUUGCAAAUGAUUCGUUGUACUCAGAAACCUUUUAAGAUCCUUGACUGACUUUGGAAUGGGGAAUUCCACGUGGUUUCAUUCGUCUGAAGAUCAGCCACCAUGCCUUAACUGUUGCCAAUGUGUCCUAAAAAUGAAUGGAUUCUUUAGAGAAUUCACACUUCUCAUGAAGCGUGUGCCCCCUUCUUGAAAUGUUUUAAUAUUUUAUACUCUUCAAUCAUUGCCCCAUGGAUCUGUAUGUCAUUCAUGUGGCAUAUAACUUUGUGAAGACUUGUAAACGCUUGACAUGAUUUUUGAAAAAUCUCUAGGGCAAAUGCAAUUCCAAAAGGCAAUCUGAAAAAAAUUCCAAAUAGAGUGAUAAAUGUCAUAAGCAAUCUCGAUUGCUUGCUUAAUGGCAUUUAGAAAAAUAUGCUAUUUGUAUCGAGUUUUAUAAAAUAUCUCCAAGUGGCUAGGUUUGCUAGUCUCCCAGCAACAAUGGACAUCGGGUAAUUUGUGUCAGGUCAAUGCAAAUUCGAGGAGCAACUUUAAGGUUGGGCAUGUUAACAAUACCUGAACAUUGUUUUGUGGGUUUCUUGAUGAGGGCGAUAAUGCCGAUUCUUGUCAUUUCUGUGAGUUGAUUCUCAUUUUCUUUCUUCAUUAAGGGAUGUAAUAUCAUCUUGGAUGUGUAAAGGCUUAAUAUUUUUAUAUCUUUCUUUAGUGUGAUGCUAUAAUCAUUCCGAGUAAUUCUGAAUACAGAGUUGACUAGCACGGUGCAAACCGUUGUCUUCUAAAACAGGGGCUGCUAUAUGUCAAGUACAAACAUUAUUAUACGCUAUGCAUCACAGAACAAGUUAGAUACUGACGUAUGUAAAAUAUGUGGGAACAAAUUGUGCAGAGUAUAUGUAUUUAAGAAAAAUGUUACAUGUUAAAUGUGAAGGUUCAUGUUGGAAUUUGGUGAUGUUAUGUGACUGUACAUGCAUAUGUAAUAACUUUCCCUUCUACAGUUACACUAUUUUGCACUAGUGUAUCUAUAAAAUG